rnacentral:lncRNA from 1 species
UGAUGAAAAAAGGAAAAUCUACACUGGUCCUCUAAUCAUUUGCAUAAGAGAUAAGUGGACAUUUAAAUUCACAACAUAUGCAUUAAACAUUGUAUAGAGAACUACAAUCGGUACUAUUUCAGCCUCUUCUCAAAGACAAAAUUUAGACUUUUUGCUGCUAAUAGAAACCUGUCAUUACAAAAUUGAUUAAAAAAUACAUAUAACCUCACUUUCCUCAGUUUCAAAUGGGACAUGUUUGACUCUCCUCCUAUUCUCCUAAUGUGAUAAUUAGUGUCUCAAUCAUGCCAUAGUUAUUACCAAAGUAUAUCUCAUCACAC